UGGGGAAUUUUGGACAAUGGGCGCAAGCCUGAUCCAGCAAUGCCGCGUGUGUGAAGAAGGCCUUCGGGUUGUAAAGCACUUUUGUCCGGAAAGAAAACCUCGUGGUUAAUACCCUUGGGGGAUGCCGGUACCGGAAGAAUAAGCACCGGCUAACUACGUGCCAGCAGCCGCGGUAAUACGUAGGGUGCAAGCGUUAAUCGGAAUUACUGGGCGUAAAGCGUGCGCAGGCGGUUCGCUAAGACAGAUGUGAAAUCCCCGGGCUUAACCUGGGAACUGCAUUUGUGACUGGCGGGCUAGAGUAUGGCAGAGGGGGGUAGAAUUCCACGUGUAGCAGUGAAAUGCGUAGAGAUGUGGAGGAAUACCGAUGGCGAAGGCAGCCCCCUGGGCCAAUACUGACGCUCAUGCACGAAAGCGUGGGGAGCAAACAGG
rnacentral:rRNA from 1 species